UACAGAGGGUGCGAGCGUUGUCCGGAAUUAUUGGGCGUAAAGAGCUCGUAGGCGGUUUGUCACGUCUGCUGUGAAAACUGGAGGCUCAACCUCCAGCUUGCAGUGGGUACGGGCAGACUAGAGUGCGGUAGGGGAGAUUGGAAUUCCUGGUGUAGCGGUGGAAUGCGCAGAUAUCAGGAGGAACACCGAUGGCGAAGGCAGAUCUCUGGGCCGAUACUGACACUGAGAAGCGAAAGGCGUGGGGAGCGAACAGG
rnacentral:rRNA from 1 species